rnacentral:rRNA from 1 species
GACGAACGCUGGCGGCGUGCUUUAUACAUGCAAGUCGAACGAUGAAGUUCCUUCGGGAAUGGAUUAGUGGCGAACGGGUGAGGAACACGUGAGAAACCUGCCUUUCAUUCUGGGAUAACACCGGGAAACCGGUGCUAAUACCGGAUACUCCGUCUUGGCGGCAUCGCCGAGCCGGGAAAAAAUUUUGAUGAAAGAUGGUCUCGCGGCCUAUCAGCUAGUUGGUGAGGUAAUGGCUCACCAAGGCGACGACGGGUAGCCGGCCUGAGAGGGCGACCGGCCACACUGGGACUGAGAAACGGCCCAGACUCCUACGGGAGGCAGCAGUAGGGAAUAUUGGGCAAUGGGCGCAAGCCUGACCCAGCGACGCCGCGUGAGGGAUGAAGGUCUUCGGAUUGUAAACCUCUUUCAGUAGGGAAGAAGCGAAAGUGACGGUACCUGCAGAAAAAGCACCGGCUAACUACGUGACAGCAGCCGCCGUAA